CUGCAUAUCAUGACUGCAUGCUUCCUAAAGUAUGACUAUUUGCUGGAGACAUCACUCUGCCUUAGUCAUCCUUUAUUUUGGCUAGGGAAAUCUUGUAGCCAUUCCGCUGCCGUGUGCUUCGUAGUUACAAGGUGGCAUAAGGAGAAGGAAGAACGCCCUGUUCCUACAGAUGUUCCGCGCCAGUGGUUGGUGCCUCGGCUGAAAAGGGUAACUCCCAAGGCAGCUGUGGAUCUGGAAUACCGUCACCACUCACUGGAGAAGAGGAAAUCAAUCGGUGCCCCAUCAAAACAGGCUGCGACCACCUGCGCUAUCGACGUCCCUGCUCUGAUUUCUGAGCUUAAAAAGGUUGCACCGACUGCAAGGUUUUUCACGUUGGUUGAAAGGAACACUGCACAAGUUACAGAAAGUGGGCAUACUGAAACAGCUGCUGGUGUGUACCACAUAUCCCUUCAUCAACCUC